GCCUCGGUAGUCUAAUGGCUUAAGACACUCGUACGGAAUACAAGAGAUCUUGGUUCGACUCCCGGCCGAGGUA
rnacentral:tRNA from 1 species